UUUUAAAAUUUUUAUCUAUUAUUAUUAUUGUUAAAAAUUGGCGUAGUUAACGAAAUAACUUCAUAGUUACAUGUGGUAUGCCAUGUGUACAUUAUGCUGAUGUACAAUGACCAGUUUUUAAUAAUAAAAACGGAUGAAAUUUUAAACA
rfam:Gossypium arboreum cultivar AKA8401 contig_307_7, whole genome shotgun sequence.